rnacentral:rRNA from 1 species
UACGGAGGGAGCUAGCGUUGUUCGGAAUUACUGGGCGUAAAGGGCGCGUAGGCGGUUUGUACAGUCAGGUGUGAAAUUCCCGGGCUCAACCUGGGGGCUGCACUUGAUACGUAGGAACUUGAGUGGGGAAGAGGUGAGUGGAAUUCCCAGUGUAGAGGUGAAAUUCGUAGAUAUUGGGAAGAACACCGGUGGCGAAGGCGGCUCACUGGCUCGUAACUGACGCUCAGGCGCGACAGCGUGGGGAUCAAACAGG